CUGACAAAGUUCUAAAAUUUGACAGAGUUCUAGCUUGUCCUUACACAGUGUCGAACAUGGUGCCCGUGGUCGAAGGCCUCCCUAAAGACAGGGCAGCGCCAACAUAUGAAAAAUUGGCUUAGUAAAUACCAGUAAUUGGAAUGGUGCUUAAUAAUCAAAUUUUUGGUAUGUGAGAAACCGCCGUGCAGUCUUGGGGUCCCUUCAACCACUGGCGCCAUGUUGCAGCUCCUAUUGCAUGCGACUGUGCAUUGCCUUAUGGUGCAGUUCUGUGUCAUCUAGAAAUGCAGAAAGCAUAGUACUCAUUUGCACAAGUUGUAAAUUGUCAGCCAUCAAAUUGCCAGCCGUUAUUACUACAAUGCACCAUUGAGGACGUAAGAAAAAUAGCACAUGAAAUGUCAUGCAACAUAGCGCUGCCUAGGAGAACAGUAAAUUAACGUUGACUAGGAGAACAGUGAACUGGGCAAGUUGGUAUUUGUUCAUUUUUUAUACAGGACAAAGACUACAGGUGGCACAGAAAUGACAGGACCACCUGCUGGUCUAGCAGCUUUGUAACGUCUGGUCUUCUGCGCUGUAGAAGUAGUAGCACUGUUUUCCGGUGACUAUUUGCUUUUUAAGCUACUUUUGUAGUUUCUCAAUAGUUGUACAUGUAUGAUUGCUUGAAAUUGUAUUUGUGCAUGUUCCUGUGCAAGUCUGAAUUUGCAAGUAAAGACAACACAGUGUUUCAUUUAUUUGUGCCCUUGUGCUGUACAUGCCCCGUGGUGCGCUUCAUAUCUUCUAUAACACAAGAGACGAUCUCAUUUCUGCAAGGUCACCUGUACCGGAUCCAUUUUCUAGUGUAAGUCCCUGACUGUGUGAAGCAUUGUUUCGAGCGAAUGAAAGUGCAGCAAGGUAAAGAUUUCAAAUCCACACUUCAUUUGGCAUUCUCAUAACCUGAACCAAUUCUAGAUGUCUAGCAAAGGCUGCUGUAAUUAUGAAUGGCUCAACGAGCUUUGAAACUGCUUGUGUGACAAGGGUGUAAAUUAUAUGUGUUCAUGACUCUUCAGCACCUGCAAUGAACCCGUAGUCCAACUUUCAUACGUGGAUUGUUUCAUCUAGAUGCAGUCUGUCUUAUAGCACCACUUUGUUCCCAUUUAUCAUUGAGUCACGGAUGGUCUUUGGUGGCACUGUAAAAGGUGCCAUGUAGAACAAACCAGAACAAAGAAACUACUGAAUUGUGUAUAGUCCACUUCGUUAAGUAUGUAUAAAUAUGUUUCGAAGCCACUCUGUGGAGGACGGGAAUCGUCACUGUUACUUGUGGCAGAGAUCCAAAGCUCAAGAGAAUGAGGAGCAUCGUUUCUCUUUCAUCUGUUGUUUGCCGAAGCUUCCACAUGUAGCCCUGCUACAUGGACGUGACAAAGGAUAUAGGUGAUGCAGAAAGUGAUUUUGAAACUCCUGAUGGAGACUAACAAGUUGGGGAUAUCUACAGUGGGUGUGAUUACAUUUGGCCUACUUGCCAUUAAAGUUGAUUUUACUUCUGUGAUUUCAAUUAUGUUUUUAUGAGUUAUGUUGAUACUAUUGCUUGGGUGUGUACACUUCCUGUUAUAAACAUAGGAGGUAGUUUGUUUAAUUACUGUAUUGUGCGAUAUUUAAUGUCACGUCUUCUAAGACUGCGGAGCAUGGUUGUAACAAAAGUUCUUGAAAACUGCAGAAAAGGUUUUUUCUCUACACAUUUGGCUGUACUACCAUCUGUGCCACCAUCGUUGAUAGUGAUAUAGCAAGUACAUAGGAGGAAACAUGAUAAUGAAAGAAUUUCCACAGUGAUUGCUCUCCUGUUUGUGCUACUUGACACUUGUCCUGGCUGUUUUAUGGCAAUCCCUUAUGAGUUGCUCUGACAGAGUUACAGGUGUGACAGAUAGUAUUGCAAUCACAAAUGCACUCUUUGAGGGUACACAGUGCUAAUCUACUUAUCACAAUACCAUGCAUAAUGCUACAUCAGCUACAAUUAUGACAAAUAACUUAUACCAAUGAGUGAGAUUUAUACUUUUGACUUCUCUAAUGGCUCCACACAAAAUUAAGGCAUAUGCAGCGAUGCGAUUAUUGCAUGCUCGGCCUGAAUAUGACAUCCAAACAUUCGCAAAGGUAGUUCCUGCAAUAGUUGUGCCCUCGGCGAAACAAAAUUACCAGUCACCAUGAAGUGCAGUUCAACUGGAUUGUUUACAGAUGGACUGCUAAGUGCUCUGCACUAUCUGGCCUGAUAUCAUGCAGUCUGUGAAGCUUUCAUCACCUAAUUAUGUGUCAUGUGACUGGCUGUUCAACGCAUGAUGCAAAGCUACACUUCUUGUAGAAGCAAGAUGUGGGUUUAAACAGCCUCAUAGCGCUAAAUACUCAAUUCACACAAAAACAAAAUUUUUUUGCUAUUUAAUGUUUACGAUAUGAUUCGUUCAGUGCUGAAGUGUAGGUUCGGGCCUAUAGUCCUAGAGCUAUGCCGUAUAAAAAUGCGCACUAUUUGAUGCGGCACCAUCCAUGUUGAGACUGCUGAAGAAUAUGAACAUUCUGCCCAAGCACAUGUAACACUAUUCUUCAGUGAUAAAUUUAAGUUCAAUUCAAACAUAGUGACUACCAUUUACAACACUCAAGUUCUCUUGCUGUGUGGACGUUGUUCGAGUGGAUUGCACUGUAGUUUUUUGAAGCCUGCUACUUAUGCACCAGGUUUUUGUAGACUGAGCAGACGUUGCAUGCGCAACUGAAAUGCAGGUGUGUGCAGCGAUUCUCAUACUUGCUUGUGUUUGACUGUGAAGGUUCAGAAUGUACAAGCGCUUGCUGCAAUUUUGUACUGCAGGCACAUGUUAUUAUACCUCAUGCUAAUAUUGAAAAUCCUGAAUUUGCUUGCUUACUGUCAGCCAGCAUGUCGACAUAGUUACUCCUAAGAUGGUGCUUGCAACCGUUGCCUUAUAAAAUUUACUGAACAAAGCGAUGUGAACAAGCUGAUUACUUGGAGCAUGUUUGUUAGAUACAUAGAGCACAAGAUUGCAAUAAUUUGAUUAUGCUAUGCACAAUGUUGCUUUGCAAUCGUGCAUGGCUUCCCUAAUAAUGCAACAAGCCUUUUUGAACAUGUUACAUUUGUAUACAGCUUUCGAUACCUCUCUGCAAGCUGUGAAUUUUCAGCAAUGUUUACAAAUUAUAUUGUUGAUGCAAUGCUCAUGUGUUUCAAUAAAGCUGAGAAUAUACAAACACA
rnacentral:lncRNA from 1 species